AGUCGAGCGAACAGAUAAGGAGCUUGCUCCUUUGACGUUAGCGGCGGACGGGUGAGUAACACGUGGGUAACCUACCUAUAAGACUGGAAUAACUUCGGGAAACCGAAGCUAAUGCCGGAUAACAUGUAGAACCGCAUGGUUCUACAGUGAAAGAUGGCCUUGCUAUCACUUAUAGAUGGACCCGCGCCGUAUUAGCUAGUUGGUAAGGUAACGGCUUACCAAGGCAACGAUACGUAGCCGACCUGAGAGGGUGAUCGGCCACACUGGAACUGAGACACGGUCCAGACUCCUACGGGAGGCAGCAGUAGGGAAUCUUCCGCAAUGGGCGAAAGCCUGACGGAGCAACGCCGCGUGAGUGAUGAAGGUCUUCGGAUCGUAAAGCUCUGUUAUUAGGGAAGAACAAGUGCGUAAGUAACUGUGCGCACCUUGACGGUACCUAAUCAGAAAGCCACGGCUAACUACGUGCCAGCAGCCGCGGUAAUACGUAGGUGGCAAGCGUUAUCCGGAAUUAUUGGGCGUAAAGCGCGCGUAGGCGGUUUCUUAAGUCUGAUGUGAAAGCCCACGGCUCAACCGUGGAGGGUCAUUGGAAACUGGGAGACUUGAGUGCAGAAGAGGAAAGUGGAAUUCCAUGUGUAGCGGUGAAAUGCGCAUAGAUAUGGAGGAACACCAUUGGCGAAUGCGACUUUCUGGUCUGUAACUGACGCUGAUGUGCGAUUGCGUGGGGAUCAAACAGGAUUAUAUACUCUGGUAUUUCACGCCGUAAA
rnacentral:rRNA from 1 species